rnacentral:rRNA from 1 species
GCUUGUCUCAAAGAUUAAGCCAUGCAUGUCUAAGUAUAAACUGCUUAUACUGUGAAACUGCGAAUGGCUCAUUAAAUCAGUUAUAGUUUAUUUGAUAGUACCUUUACCUGGAUAACUGUGGUAAUUCUAGAGCUAAUACAUGCUAAAAACCCCAACUUCGGGAGGGGUGUAUUUAUUAGAUAAAAAACCAAUGCCCUUCGGGGCUCUUUGGUGAUUCAUAAUAACUUAACGAAUCGCAUGGCCUUGCGCCGGCGAUGGUUCAUUCAAAUUUCUGCCCUAUCAACUUUCGAUGGUAAGGUAGUGGCUUACCAUGGUUUCAACGGGUAACGGGGAAUUAGGGUUCUAUUCCGGAGAGGGAGCCUGAGAAACGGCUACCACAUCCAAGGAAGGCAGCAGG